ensembl:ncRNA lncRNA:CR43801 long non-coding RNA:CR43801
UACAAAUCAAUGCCCUUAUUUUUGAUUUAAUAAAGAACCUAGGAAAGCUGAACAAAUUAAGUGAAACAUAAUCCACGCCACAAAGUUCCUCCCGCUGUCUUCGGAUAAUCGGAACAAGAAAGCAAAUCUUUGACAGAGGUAAAGUUCAAGAACCCCAUGAAAGCAUCAACACGCAUAUGAAGAUGAACGCAGACACCACUCCAUGCCAUAAACUGGCUCACUGGCAGUGCUAUUGGACGGACUCCCUGCUACACUGAUACCCUGCUACCCUGCCUCCAUGCCGCCGAGGAAAAGCCCCUGCCCCAAAGUUUUCCCGGCACUGAGAACGAAAGUGAGUCGUUUCACCUACACAACACAACAAAGCUCGGGUGCCUUCACCCUCAUUUGGACGAACAUUUUUUUUUUUUGGCGCUGCGCAAGAAGUUCAUUGAACUUGGUGGAAAUUCGGAAGAAGUCCAGAGCCAACGACAAGCUACCAACGCCCUAGCCUCACACCCAGAAAUCAUUUCAUUAGUUUCGUUGUGGGUUGAUGCUUCGGCGCUGUAC